rnacentral:tRNA from 1 species
GGAGAGAUGCCAGAGUGGUUGAAUGGGACGGUCUCGAAAACCGUUGUAGGGCUAGUCCCUACCGUGGGUUCGAAUCCCACUCUCUCCG